UAGCAUAUCAAUAAGCGGAGGAAAAGAAACCAACAGGGAUUGCCUCAGUAACUGCGAGUGAAGCGGCAAAAGCUCAAAUUUGAAAUCCGGCGUCUCUGGCGUCUGAGUUGUAAUUUGGAGGGGCAUCUUCGAGGUUGGCGUCGUCCUAAGUUCCUUGGAACAGGACGUCACAGAGGGUGAGAAUCCCGUGCCUGGACGGAUGUCCGGCCUCAUGUGAAGUGUCUCCGACGAGUCGAGUUGUUUGGGAAUGCAGCUCAAAAUGGGUGGUAAAUUUCAUCUAAAGCUAAAUAUUGGCGAGAGACCGAUAGCGCACAAGUAGAGUGAUCGAAAGAUGAAAAGCACUUUGAAAAGAGAGUUAAAAAGUACGUGAAAUUGUUGAAAGGGAAGCGCUUGAGACCAGACUCGACUGGUGGUGAUCAGCCGUACUUCUGUAUGGUGCACUGGCUAUCAGUCGGGCCAGCAUCAGUUCUGGUGGUGGGAUAAAAGGGGCGGAAACGUGGCCGUAUUCGUACGGUGUUACAGUCCGCCUCACAAUGCCGCCGGCUGGGACUGAGGACCGCGCCUCUGGCUAGGAUGCUGGCGUAAUGGUUUUAAGCGACCCGUCUUGAAACACGGACCAAGGAGUCUAACAUCUAUGCGAGUGUUCGGGUGGAAAACCCUUGCGCGUAAUGAAAGUGAACGGAGGUGGGAACCCCUCGGGGUGCACCAUCGACCGAUCCUGAUGUCUUCGGAUGGAUUUGAGUAAGAGCAUAGCUGUUGGGACCCGAAAGAUGGUGAACUAUGCCUGAAUAGGGUGAAGCCAGGGGAAACUCUGGUGGAGGCUCGCAGCGGUUCUGACGUGCAAAUCGAUCGUCAAAUUUGGGUAUAGGGGCGAAAGACUAAUCGAACCAUCUAGUAGCUGGUUCCUG
rnacentral:rRNA from 1 species